rnacentral:rRNA from 1 species
CCGUAGGGGGCAAGCGUUGUCCGGAUUUAUUGGGCGUAAAGAGCUCGUAGGCGGCUUGGCAAGUCGGGUGUGAAACCUCCAGGCUCAACCUGGAGACGCCACUCGAUACUGCCAUGGCUAGAGUCCGGUAGGGGACCACGGAAUUCCUGGUGUAGCGGUGAAAUGCGCAGAUAUCAGGAGGAACACCGGUGGCGAAGGCGGUGGUCUGGGCCGGCACUGACGCUGAGGAGCGAAAGCGUGGGUAGCAAACAGG